CCUACGGGUGGCUGCAGUGAGGAAUAUUGGUCAAUGGGCGGGAGCCUGAACCAGCCAAGUCGCGUGAGGGAAGAAGGUACUGAGUAUUGUAAACCUCUUUUGCCAGGGGACAAAGGCGGCCACGGGUGGCCGUAAGAGGGUACCUGGGGAAAAAGCAUCGGCUAACUCCGUGCCAGCAGCCGCGGUAAUACGGAGGAUGCGAGCGUUAUCCGGAUUUAUUGGGUUUAAGGGGUGCGCAGGCGGCGUGUCAAGUCAGCGGUAAAAUGUCGGGGCUAAACCCCGGCCGGCCGUUGAAACUGGCAAACUGGAGUGUGUGAGAGGAUAGUGGAAUUCCAGGUGUAGGAGUGAAAUCCGUAGAUAUCUGGAGGAACAUCAGUGGCGAAGGCGACUAUCUGGCACAUAACUGACGCUGAGGAGCGAAAGCGUGGGUAGCAAACAGGAUUAGAUACCCUUGUAGUC
rnacentral:rRNA from 1 species